ensembl:misc_RNA Y_RNA Y RNA
GGCUAGUCCGACCAUAGUGAGUUAUCUCAAUUGGUUGUCCCCAGUCAGCUCAGAUAGAACUCCUUGUUGUCUUCCCCCAUUCUCACUAGCACACUUAGCUAGUCUUUA